AUACGAGUGCCCCGAGCGUUAUCCGGAAUCACUGGGCGUAAAGGGUGCGUAGGUGGCCGCGUUAGUCUUUCGUAAAAUCUUCGGGCUCAACCUGAAGCUGGCGAAAGAAACGGCGUGGCUUGAGGGUGUGAGAGGUGUGUGGAACUCAUGGUGUAGGGGUGAAAUCCGUUGAUAUCAUGGGGAACACCGAAUGCGAAGGCAGCACACUGGCACAUUCCUGACACUGAGGCACGAAAGCGUGGGUAGCGAAUGGGAUUAGAAACCCUAGUAGUCC
rnacentral:rRNA from 1 species